AUGAACAAGCAACACGUGUUUGGGUAUAAAAUUAUAUCGGAAAAUUAAGUAAGCUUGUUAUGAAUUUGUCAAAUUGACACAUAUUAACUGGAGCACGGGGUGUGGAUGGUGAACCAAGGCUCAACAACAGACCACAAGAAGAACUGAAGAGAAAUUUGUUACAGGUCCUGGAGGAAGUACUGGACACACCUCAAGGGACUACACAGGAGAUGAAGGCAGAGUGAAGAUGCAGAGGCAGGACCUGGGCACAUGCCUUUAUUAAGGUACCCAGCAAGAAGGAAAGACAAGGAAGUAAAAAGAACUCUAAAAGCCACCAACAAUUUUAAUUUGGAUAUCUUCAAUGUAAUUAACACAGGAUGCCUAUUCCAGAUAUAAACAGAGAGAUGAUUGCCUGACCAAAGUUCUGGAAAGCAGAUGUGUUGCUCGAAGGGUACAAAAUACGGAUGUGUAUUGUGCUACCAGGCUGUCAAAGAUGAAGAGAUCAAUCAAUAGAACUCCAAACUGAGUGCAUUCUCUGUGUGGCAGAAGAAAAUUACAUACAAAAGGAGUUAGGGAAUUGUUGUAAAAGCACAGGAAUGAGAUUAGUAGCUAAUAUAUUACGGCCAUGAGAUUUUUAAAAACAUAUUAGGGAAAUACAAAGGCAUAAUCAGAUGACUAAAGAUAAUGACAUACAAUUUUCAAGGGAGUUAAACACAUGAAACUCUUGGAAGAGAAAAAAUAAUAAUAAAGAGCUCCUU